CCUACGGGAGACAGCAGUCGAGAAUCAUUCACAAUGGGGGAAACCCUGAUGGUGCAACGCCGCGUGGGGGAAUGAAGUUCUUCGGAUUUUAAACCCCUUUCAUGUGGGAGCAAAUUAAAAAGAUAGUACCACAAGAGGAAGAGACGGCUAACUCUGUGCCAGCAGCCGCGGUAAUACAGAGGUCUCAAGCGUUGUUCGGAAUCACUGGGCGUAAGGCGUGCGUAGGCUGUUUCGUAAGUCGUGUGUGAAAGGCGCGGGCUCAACCCGCGGACGGCACAUGAUACUGCGAGACUAGAGUAAUGGAGGGGGAACUGGAAUUCUCGGUGUAGCAGUGAAAUGCGUAGAUAUAGAGAGGAACACUCGUGGCGAAGGCGGGUGCCUGGACAUUAACUGACGCUGAGGCACGAAGGCCAGGGGAGCGAAAGGGAUUAGAUACCCUUGUAGUC
rnacentral:rRNA from 1 species